CCUACGGGAGGCAGCAGUGGGGAAUAUUGGACAAUGGGGGGAACCCUGAUCCAGCCAUGCCGCGUGUGUGAAGAAGGCCCUCGGGUUGUAAAGCACUUUCAGUGAGGAAGAACGCCUGGUGGUUAAUACCCAUCAGGAAAGACAUCACUCACAGAAGAAGCACCGGCUAACUCCGUGCCAGCAGCCGCGGUAAUACGGAGGGUGCGAGCGUUAAUCGGAAUUACUGGGCGUAAAGCGCGCGUAGGUGGCUUGAUAAGCCGGUUGUGAAAGCCCCGGGCUCAACCUGGGAACUGCAUCCGGAACUGUCAAGCUAGAGUGCAGGAGAGGAAGGUAGAAUUCCCGGUGUAGCGGUGAAAUGCGUAGAGAUCGGGAGGAAUACCAGUGGCGAAGGCGGCCUUCUGGACUGACACUGACACUGAGGUGCGAAAGCGUGGGUAGCAAACAGGAUUAGAUACCCGUGUAGUC
rnacentral:rRNA from 1 species